GAAUUUAAUAUAAUUUUAUUAGAUAAGAAUUUAUUAGAAAAAAUAAUAAAUAUAUAUUUAAUUGGGAGGAUUGUUAAAUUUAAGUAACUUUAAUUAAAUUAAAAUAUAAAUUAAUAAAAUAAAGGAAUGGUUAAUAAAUUAAAAAAGAAUUAAUUACCUUAGGGAUAACAGCGUAAUACUUUUGGAGAGUUCAUAUUAAUAUAAGUGAUUGC
rnacentral:rRNA from 1 species